rnacentral:ncRNA from 2 species
UGAUAGCCUCGGGGCGCCAGUCGAGCCACAUCCGAGGCCAGGGAAUCCGGUGCGAAUCCGGAACUGACGCGCAGCGGUGAGGGGGACGGGCGGGGCACGACACGCCACUGGGAGACCGGGAAGGCGCCCCGUCCGGACGAACCCGAGUCCGAAGACCUGCUGGCACCUCCGCGCCCCG